AGCCCUCGUGGCCGGGGACGAACGGCGGCGUCGGCUUGACGGGCCAAUCACCGUGUGCGGCAUGCAGAUCGGUGUGGCACACACCGGAGGUCUC
rnacentral:tRNA from 1 species